AGUUGGAAACGACUGCUAAUACCGCAUAAGCCCACGGCUCGGCAUCGAGCAGAGGGAAAAGGAGCAAUCCGCUUUGAGAUGGCCUCGCGUCCGAUUAGCUAGUUGGUGAGGUAAUGGCCCACCAAGGCAACGAUCGGUAGCCGGACUGAGAGGUUGAACGGCCACAUUGGGACUGAGACACGGCCCAGACUCCUACGGGAGGCAGCAGUGGGGAAUAUUGCACAAUGGGGGAAACCCUGAUGCAGCGACGCCGCGUGGAGGAAGAAGGUCUUCGGAUUGUAAACUCCUGUUGUUGAGGAAGAUAAUGACGGUACUCAACAAGGAAGUGACGGCUAACUACGUGCCA
rnacentral:rRNA from 1 species